rnacentral:rRNA from 1 species
AACGAACGCUGGCGGCAGGCUUAACACAUGCAAGUCGAACGCCCCGCAAGGGGAGUGGCAGACGGGUGAGUAACACGUGGGAACGUGCCCUAAGGUUCGGAACAACUCCGGGAAACUGGAGCUAAUACCGAAUGUGUCCGUAAGGAGAAAGAUUUAUCGCCUUAGGAUCGGCCCGCGUCAGAUUAGCUAGUUGGUGGGGUAAUGGCCUACCAAGGCGACGAUCUGUAGCUGGUCUGAGAGGACGACCAGCCACACUGGGACUGAGACACGGCCCAGACUCCUACGGGAGGCAGCAGUGGGGAAUCUUGGACAAUGGGCGCAAGCCUGAUCCAGCCAUGCCGCGUGGAUGAUGAAGGCCCUAGGGUUGUAGAAUCCUUUCGUUGGGGACGAUAAUGACGGUACCCAAAGAAGAAGCUCCGGCUAACUUCGUGCCAGCAGCCGCCGUAAAAC